AGCUAAUUAAUCCCAUCCGGUUAUUACAUGGGGAUUCCGAGGGAUAAAGGGAAAUGGACAAGCUGGAUGGGGGCAUUUGGGUUGAUGCAGCACUUGUGAAGGCUGAAUGGCAAUGACAGUGGCUGCCCUCGGUCCAGAAUACAGGGUAGGAACACGUCCUCCCUGUCACUGGCUCCCUCUGCAGCUGGCUCCCAGCCUGCGGGGCACUUAGGUAGAUGGCAGCAUGGGCAGGGGGCCAGGUCCGAGGACCGAGAAGCACGUUCACAGACACACCCUCUAGGGCUCCCAGUUCUUUAAUCUGGGGGAUGGGUCUCCCCCUAAAACAGUCAUUCUCCCACAAUGGGAAGAACCCUAGUGUCCAGAGCUACCUCCUCCUUCCCAGAUCCGCAAGUUGGGCCAGGGAAGUGACUCUGGCUGUUAGCCACAGCCCACGCCUACCCUUGCCCUGUGAUUCAGACACCCGAGUUCAGAGCCAGCCUCCAAGAGUAUCUUAUAUCCCAGCCUCUCCUGGAAGGUCGUAUGAUCCAGCACUGGGGAGAGAAGGGAAAUCCCCAGGACUCAAAUGCCCAUCCCACUCUCGGUGAAGUGAGGACUCAUCCUGCUGGAAAGGCCCCUAAAUAACUUCAAGUUCCAAUAUCCCAUUUUUACAGAUGGGGAAGCUGACAUGAAGAGGAGUCCAAAGUGUCACAGUCAACCCAGAAUUGUUGCUUCUCAAGUCCCAAGUCCACCUCCUGGCACUGCUAAGAAGUCCACCUGGAGGUGAUGAGAACUUACAGGCUUUGGUAAUGGACAACUCUGGAUGCCUGGAGCCUUCCUUCCUUUUGGCAUUACAGAACCACAAGAAGUCAUCUAGAAUCAUCGAGAUUCUCAACUCCAUUGGCCAAGCUGGAACCAGCAAAAUCUCAGACAUCUAGAAUUGCCACUGCUUCCUUGACUCUGUGAUCAGUCUAGAGCCACAGAAUCCUGAUUCCCUCUGGACAUUCUAGAAUGGCACUUAAAAAAAACCCACCCCGUGGAUCCUUUCAAAGCAUUGCUUAUUCUCUUGGUUGGGUGCUCUACAGCCAGAAGUUGGAGUUAUCUAAUAUCAAGAACUCCUAAUCUGUUACUUUAGUCUUUCUAAACCCACAGACUCCACAAUGUUUUGUGCAUUCUA